CAGGGAGGGAGGGGGGGAUGGCGGAGAUGUGUGCUGAGGACCCAGGGUACAGACGCGACACUGCCACCCGAAGAGACCUCCACAAUCGCGGCGGUCAAGCCGAACGGGAGGAUGAAGAAGAGGAUGGAGCGAACGAGCUGUCACCGGGCAGCGAAGAAGGCCCGCUGUGGACUGAGGAUCCCACCCACCCCCACCCCCAAAAAAAUGCUUCACACAUAAUCAGACUCGUUAUUUAGACUGGAGGAACGCGAUGAUUUGCCUGCUUCCGAUAAGGAAGCCAAAAAGCUCAGUGGGCUUUACCUGGUAAAAUAAAAUAGUUUCGUUUAAUGUG